CCACCAUCCCCGCCACAGGAGAUCAGCUGCCGUGUAUGCUGUGCAUAGGAGAGGGCCUGGACUUUGUCGCUGUGAAAGAAACCAAGGUUUGUGCAUGGCUGACAAGUUAUUCCCUCUUGGCAGCAAAAAUGAUGGAGAAUUUAGUUUUAUGGUCUGAGUGAUCACUAACAAUGGAUUUACAGAGAUUCAUUCUCUGUUGGGUGAGAGAAGUUUCUUGAUCUUUUUUUUUUUUUUUUUUGGAGGGGGGAUGUUCAUCUAUUUUGAGCUCAGAUCAAUGAAGAAUUGUGUUUCUACUGGGAAGGAGAACAGCUCUUUGAUAUCUGGACUGGUGAUUUUUUUGUGUUUCUGUUUAUUCUUGAUCUGUGGCUGAAGUUGAAAAACUAAAGCUAUUAAGCUCUGUGUGUCUAUGUGUUUAUAAUCCAGAAAAGCCUUCACCUCUUGCUGUAUGUGGAAUGCUUUCCUACUUGUUGUAGAGGGGGUCAAUACAUUGGAUUAUGAUACCUUU